rnacentral:rRNA from 1 species
GAUGAACGCUGGCGGCGUGCCUAAUACAUGCAAGUCGAGCGAACAGACGAGGAGCUUACUCCUCUGACGUUAGCGGCGGACGGGUGAGUAACACGUGGAUAACCUACCUAUAAGACUGGGAUAACUUCGGGAAACCGGAGCUACUACCGGAUAGCAUGUUGAACCGCAUGGUUCAACAGUGAAAGACGGUCUUGCUGUCACUUAUAGAUGGAUCCGCGUCGCAUUAGCUAGUUGGUAAGGUAACGGCUUACCAAGGCAACGAUGCGUAGCCGACCUGAGAGGUUUAUCGGCCACACUAGAACUGAGCCACGGUCCAGACUCCUACGGGAGGCAGCAGUAGGGAAUCUUCCGCAAUGGGCGAAAGCCUGACGGAGCAACGACGCGUGAGUGAAGAAGGUCUUCGGAUCGUAAAACUCUGUUAUUAGGGAAGAACAAAUGUGUAAGUAACUAUGCACGUCUUGACGGUACCUAAUCAGAAAGCCACGGCUAACUACGUG